AUGGUUUCACUGAUCGAGCAUCUGCAGAAACUUAGUCUGGACGGCAACGCUCACCAAAGGGCCCUCAACGUGUUUCUGCUGGACCCCAACAACCUAGGAAUUUGCUGGCCUACAGAUGGAUUGAUGCCUGAGAGUGGUUAUUGGCAGCUCUGCCCUCCCUCCAAGCCUGGCCUGCAGGGUGUGCUGAGCUCCAGCUUCCCCCCCCUGCCCUGUCCCUCUGGUUCCCCCCAAAACUCAUCUGGCAGAGGGGGAAGCCCUGCACCGGCCCCUGGUCCCAAGCACCUCAGUGACAGACCUGUCUUUUCCAGGUGCACCCCCUCCCCCCCCCGCCACCCCCCAAACGCCACUGUCGUUCACUGUCCGUGCCAGAGGACCUUUCACGCUGCCGUUACACCUGGCGGCCCAGUGCUUCGAGGGUCUGGACACCUGUGAAUCGUCAAUGCCACAGUGGAGGGGUAGCCGGGGGGCCUUGUCCGCUUCGUGCUCCUAGCUCAUCUCUAAACUCUUCACUACACUCUUCUUCAAGCCCCACAUUCUUUAGCAUUGCUCUCUCCCCUGACUCCCCACUGCCCUGGAAUUUCCCAUGGGACCCCAGUGACACUGCUGGAGGAGGCGCCUGCUGCUGUUUCUUCCACUCCCCAUCAUCAUGCUCCUCUCCGUCCCCGCUCCACCCUCCCCUUCCUCCACAGCGACGCUUCUCUCUGUCACCUGUCCUUAUCAGAGAGGCUGCCGUCCAGUUCCUGCCCCCGCCUCCAGUUCCACCCCAUUGUGCAGCACCCCCUCCGGCUGUGCCUGCUUUGCCCUCCUCUGCCUGCAGCACCCCGUCCUCUCUUCGCCGGGCCAUCCCCCCUCAGCUCCCUCGCUGCCACUCACAGCCCUGUGACCUGCUCCUUCUCAAACCGGGACUGAAGCGACGCCGUGACCCAGACAGACCAUUUGCCCGGCCAGUACUGGAUUUCACCAAGAUGACUCAGACUCGCAGUACAGACCCCUUGAGUGGUAUGGAGCGUGGGAGGCUGGCUUGUGGAGGGGACGUUUGCAUGGGCUUUGAGCCUUUUUUGGGGGACUUCAGAGGGUCGUGUUCACCAGAGGGGCUGGGAAGGACAAGCAUUGGUCCUCUAAGCGAGAGUGACGAGGAGGGGGAGGAGGGGGAGGAAGACCCUGAUCGAGAGGAGUGUCAGCCGAGUAUCUUUGAGAGGGAUUGUACAGAACUAGAUUUGAGCCUAAUUGAAGAAAAUUAAAAUGUUUUUAAUUGGAGACUGUUUUCCCCUUUACCGCCAGCAUUCAACACUCCACUCCCAGCCCUGCUAUACUUCAUCGGCAGGGCUCUCAGGAACAUGACUUCUCUCUCAUGGGAAGAGCUGGGGUAUAUAUAAUCUCAUUAACAAUGGUCAUGAUUUGACUACUACCAAUAAUAACAAUUAAUUCAGGUAGCCAUGGAUGCUGUCCUUCCAUCAGAGUACAUUCCAGAACCAGUUGCUGAAACAUUGUGAAUAAUCUGAAUGCUGGAGAUGCCAGCUAUUCCCAUAGUGUCUGUUGGAUGUUUUCUUAAUGCGCCCUCAGACUGAUGGAAUUUUGGAAGACUAACAAGCUUCUGGUCACUUGCUUUCUUUUACAUGACUUUUCUUUUAAUUGUGUUUUUUUUGGUGCAGUAGUAAGAAUAGACUUGAAUGAUGAUGGUGGUGAAUUGAAUAUCUGUGUUUUGUUCAGUUUGAUGCAAAAGGGCAGUAUGUCAUUGCAGUUUUAUUUCUGCCGUCCUGUUAUUUUCUGUUAAACAAUCCAUAUGAUUCAGCAUAAGCCUUAAGACACCAUCUUUUUUUCUGUAAACAAAAAUACAACUAUGAAAAGGAAAUGAAUUGUGUAGCUGUUGCUAUUAGUCCUUUUAAUUGUUUCUUUUCUGCUGUUUAAAAAAAAAUAUUAUCUAUAUGACUCAUCUUCUGAAAAUAGAGAUGUAUAGACAUUGAUAAUGAAUGCACUGUUUGACAAGUUAACCUAAAAAUGGAAGCAACCACUGUAUUCUGAGGGCACAUUGUAAUAUUGUAUUAUACAGCGUUCAUUUGUUGAAAACAAGUUGUGUAAAGAUGGUAGCUGGGAGACCUGGGGCAGGCCAUUGCUGUCUUUUAGACAUUUAUUUUUAUUGUAUGUGUUAAAAAAAAAAGAUGGCAAUUUCAAACUCAGUUUGUGAAUAAAUAAAGUUUAUUGGAAAUUAUUUUACAAGGAAA